rnacentral:rRNA from 1 species
GAUGAACGCUGGCGGCGUGCCUAAUACAUGCAAGUCGAGCGAACGGACGAGAAGCUUGCUUCUCUGAUGUUAGCGGCGGACGGGUGAGUAACACGUGGAUAACCUACCUAUAAGACUGGGAUAACUUCGGGAAACCGGAGCUAAUACCGGAUAAUAUUUUGAACCGCAUGGUUCAAAAGUGAAAGACGGUCUUGCUGUCACUUAUAGAUGGAUCCGCGCUGCAUUAGCUAGUUGGUAAGGUAACGGCUUACCAAGGCAACGAUGCAUAGCCGACCUGAGAGGGUGAUCGGCCACACUGGAACUGAGACACGGUCCAGACUCCUACGGGAGGCAGCAGUAGGGAAUCUUCCGCAAUGGGCGAAAGCCUGACGGAGCAACACCGCGUGAGUGAUGAAGGUCUUCGGAUCGUAAAACUCUGUUAUUAGGGAAGAACAUAUGUGUAAGUAACUGUGCACAUCUUGACGGUACCUAAUCAGAAAGCCACGGCUAACUACGUGCCAGCAGCCGCGGUAAUACGUAGGUGGCAAGCGUUAUCCGGAAUUAUUGGGCGUAAAGCGCGCGUAGGCGGUUUUUUAAGUCUGAUGUGAAAGCCCACGGCUCAACCGUGGAGGGUCAUUGGAAACUGGAAAACUUGAGUGCAGAAGAGGAAAGUGGAAUUCCAUGUGUAGCGGUGAAAUGCGCAGAGAUAUGGAGGAACACCAGUGGCGAAGGCGACUUUCUGGUCUGUAACUGACGCUGAUGUGCGAAAGCGUGGGGAUCAAACAGGAUUAGAUACCCUGGUAGUCCGCGCCGUAAACGAUGAGUGCUAAGUGUUAGGGGGUUUCCGCCCCUUAGUGCUGCAGCUAACGCAUUAAGCACUCCGCCUGGGGAGUACGACCGCAAGGUUGAAACUCAAAGGAAUUGACGGGGACCCGCACAAGCGGUGGAGCAUGUGGUUUAAUUCGAAGCAACGCGAAGAACCUUACCAAAUCUUGACAUCCUUUGACAACUCUAGAGAUAGAGCUUUCCCCUUCGGGGGACAAAGUGACAGGUGGUGCAUGGUUGUCGUCAGCUCGUGUCGUGAGAUGUUGGGUUAAGUCCCGCAACGAGCGCAACCCUUAAGCUUAGUUGCCAUCAUUAAGUUGGGCACUCUAAGUUGACUGCCGGUGACAAACCGGAGGAAGGUGGGGAUGACGUCAAAUCAUCAUGCCCCUUAUGAUUUGGGCUACACACGUGCUACAAUGGACAAUACAAAGGGCAGCGAAACCGUGAGGUCAAGCAAAUCCCAUAAAGUUGUUCUCAGUUCGGAUUGUAGUCUGCAACUCGACUACAUGAAGCUGGAAUCGCUAGUAAUCGUAGAUCAGCAUGCUACGGUGAAUACGUUCCCGGGUCU